rnacentral:lncRNA from 1 species
CGCCCGUCUUGCUCGAGCUCUUCGCUUAGAUCGAUCCGGCCGGCAUAGGGUCGGGCUAAUCCCUCCUUGUUAUUUGGGGGGAGGCUAACUCGUCAUCUAGACAUCUAGUAGCGUCGGUAGUUUAAUCCAGGACAUGUAAAUCGUAUUGGUUCGUUCGUUGCCUUUUUUUUGUAAUUACGCUAGUAUAGUACUAGCUUCUGCUGUGUUUAGCGGUUCGGUCAUGGGGCCGGUUGGAUUCCGAUACGAAUGUCAGAGAACUGAUUUCAUUCAUACUAUAUUGCUGGAACAUAUAACAGGAUCGAUGAUUCCUUGGUUCCCAUGCAUGUCUGUUCGGCUUACUGCAGCGCAUUCGUCCGAAAUCAUCGCGCACGAAUCAUUCGUCAAUUUGAACGAUAUCCGCGAUAUGCAUGCUUUUUCUAAAAUGUCCCAAUGGUUAAUUAAUUUCGUUCGCAUAUGUUCAUGAGCAAGUUAAAAAAAAAUAGCGGUCUGGUUCGUUUAACUGAUUCCUUUUUUGUUUACCCCCAACGCGAUCGAAGGCCCAUCGUCGAAACGAUCGAUUGUUCUUCCGGUUCUUGGACCGUGCGUACCUGUCGUCAUCCCAUCCGAUGAUCACCAGCCUUCAACUUUUAGCAUCAGGCGGGCGGUUCUGUGGUUUUGGGAGGGAUAAUUAUUGUAUCGAUAUGAUCAUAUGGAUUUUUUGAGGCUUUUUCUCGGCGCCUGGGGAAGGCAAACGUGGGAUGCACGUACGUGCGCCCGUCCGGGCCCAGCUGGUAGCAGCCCUGCCCCGUGAAUCAAGAGGACAUAUCUGGUGCACAUAGAAACUGGUGCACAUGGUGCACAUAUUAAAUCAUCACCACUCAUUUUAGAUCUAACGUCUCUAAUUGAUUAUUCAAUUUACAAAUAACACCUUCCACCACUACACACCACCACGUUGGAGGGUGUCCUUAGUAAAAUGUACCAAACAACUAGAGACGUUAGAUCUAAAAUGAGUGGUAAUGAUUUAAUAUGUGCAACAUGUGCACCAAUAUUCCAUGUGCACCGUGAAUCAAUCCUGCCCAGGGGCCGGCUAGUUUCAUGCAUGCAUGAUCAUGGUCUGACGGAUGAGGGAUGACGCUAUGUGCUGGCUAUGACUCCCCCAGGCCCGUAUCUCUAUCUCCUAAUCUCGCUUGAGCAGUUGACCGUAUGCGUGCCACAUCCUAUACGGCUAUACCUAGCUAGGUUCCUAAACUAGAUUAUGAACGUACCUACUCUCGAGUCUCGAUCCUCCUACGUCGAAUGAAGAGGCCGGGGACAAAAAUACAAAAUUAUCUACGUACCAAAUAAUCAUGAUUAGAUUCAUUGCGAAUUUUUUAUAUCUGAAGCCAUAAAUUCCGUUCCCACCAGUGAGUCAAAUAACUUUAAAUCUGACUAGACUAUAAGAUUUAUAUAUGUAUAUAAAAAAAGAUAGUGUCAAUGUCUAUAUCUUCAACGCAUACUUGUUACAAUAAUAAUUUUUAUAAUUGAUUUGGUGAUAUACUUCUUUACGCAAUGUAAAUAUAUACUAGUAUUUUUUUAGAUAUGUUUUGGUCAAAAUUUCAAGUUAUUUGACUUUUUUGGGGAGAUACGACCUUUUUAAAUUGUAAAAAAGGUACUCCCUGCAUCCUAAAAUCCUAAAGUUAAAUUCGUUUUAGUUAAUUAAUAGAUUUAUACAAUAUUUGAUGUACGUGGUUUUAUACAUGUGUCUAGGUUUAUUUUCAUCCAUUUGAAUAUACAAUAUAGACAUAAAAUUCAUUUUGAGACGGAGGAGUAAUUAAGUUUGGCUCCGUUCGAACCCUAAUAUUAGAAAUGUAUAUAUGUUUGUUUUUGACUGGGGUGGUACAGCGUAACGGUAAUGAGGUUCUCUGCUCUGGUGUGGUAGUGGAAAUAUAGAUGGCCAAAAAGCACGAGGCCCGUGAGCCCGGCACGAAGCCCGCUUUUUGGGCCCGGUCCGAGCCCGGCACGGUAGAAUAAGCGGGCGGGUUUGGACGGAAACUAAGCACGGCGGGCUAGCCCGGCACGGCCCGUUUACCUCUAAGCCCGUUUUUUUACACUAAAACAUGCUUACCGGCCCGUUUAGCCCGCUUUUUGGCCCGUUUUUUCGUGCUAAACGGGCCCCGUUUAGGCCCGCUGCGGGCCGGGUUUGAACAGAAAAUUAAGUCCGAUGGCUCAGCAGGCCCGGCCCGAUUUUUGGCCGGGCUUCACCGGGCCCGGGCCGGGCCGGACGGCCCGUUUGGCCAUCUCUAAGUGGAAAUGUGGAAUGCGGUGGAUACGACAGAACGGGAAGCGCGCGGCGGACUACGUGCGCCCAUUCUCAGUUCGACACGUGGCGGUAUGGGCCGUGCUGUACGUGUGUAUGGCGCUAGCAUCUGGAGCACAUGCGCGCACGCACAUUGAACAUUGGCACCGAAAGGAAAUUACAAGGAGAGAUCAUCAGUUCAGAGCAGUGGAAAUAGUCCUAUACCCACGUUCGCACACGUGCGCGCGGCGCGUGUACUGGUGCGCAGCUUCACGGACAACUUUUCCCUCAAGCAUACGGCGGUGGCUACUGGCUACGACGUUUCUCCUACGAGUUAAAGCUAGCUAGUAGUAGCAGUAGCAGCCUAGCAGGUUCACCAUUCUUCGAGGCCAAGACUCGUUUGACUGGUCACCAUGACGAGGGCGUGAGCCGUGAGCUCGAUCCCCGUCCGCGGUGGGGCGUGAGCGUGAGGCCAGCACACACGCCACGCGGGCCUACAGCUACAGGACGAGCGUGUGAAAGUGGACAGGUCGCAGAAGGUUCCCGUCGCUUUCGGCGCGUUUUCUGCCGUUCAGCCCUGGGCUCUACAGUCCAGACGGCCGGCAGGCUCAGGCAGAGGGACGAGUCGCCACGGCACGGACGCGUUCCACCCAGGAUAGGAGGAUCCAGCGUUUGUUCUCGUCUGCCCCGCCCCCGACGUAGACUGCACGUGAGCCAGCCGACAGCAGAACGCCUCCCUCCUCCGCUUAUAUAAAGGCCACCAUGCACUCGCCAGAGCCAGCGCCAAACCACUGCGGCCUGCUCCUUUCACCUCUCUCCCCCUCUCCCUCUCGGGCUCUCUCCUAACAUCUUGAGCACGAUCGCAAGCUCUCACCCCCUCAGACACUCAUUCCCCACCACCGACAUACGUACAUGAAGCACCAGAGAGACGCCGGCGCCGUGCCGCUCUCCCUCGCGCUGUCCCUGGGCGGCGGCGGCGGCGGCGUGGCCCCCAAGCACGGCAUCAGCAAGAAGCCCCGGCGCGCGGCGGGCGGCGAGUUCGUCUGCAAGACGUGCAGCCGCGCCUUCGGGUCGUUCCAGGCGCUGGGCGGGCACCGCACCAGCCACCUGCGGGCCCGCCACGGCCUCGCGCUCGGCAUGCACGCCGCCGCGCCGGCGAAGGAGGAGGAUACCGCGACGAAGCCGGCAGCGGCGAAACCCGCGCCCGCGCCCGCGAGCCACCUGUGCCACGUCUGCGGCCUCGGCUUCGACAUGGGCCAGGCGCUCGGCGGACACAUGCGCCGCCACCGCGAGGAAGCGGCCGCCGCCGCCGCGCAGGCGCCGCCCGUCCUCCUCCAGCUCUUCGUGUAGAGUAAGCGGCCGCAGAGAGAGGCCAGGCCAUCGCCGGCCUUCGUACUCUAGAGUAGACUACCUACUGGCUACUAGCUAGUACAGUAGCAGAGCAAUUCUUUGCGUUUCUGUCGUCACUCGUCAGCCUGCACAUUGUUCUAGACUCACAGUACUAAUUUGUUGGCAUAUUGGCCAGUUGAUUCAUUCAUUCAUUUAAUUUAGUUGUACAUGUAAAUAACAGAUUAUUGUUUACUAAUCUACUACCUGUGACUUCGUUCGGUUUAUUGU